GAUGAACGCUGGCGGCGUGCCUAAUACAUGCAAGUCGAGCGAACAGACGAGGAGCUUGCCCCUUUGACGUUAGCGGCGGACGGGUGAGUAACACGUAGGUAACCUACCUAUAAGACUGGGAUAACUUCGGGAAACCGGAGCUAAUACCGGAUAAUAUUUCGAACCGCAUGGUUCGAUAGUGAAAGAUGGCUUUGCUAUCACUUAUAGAUGGUCCUACGCCGUAUUAGCUAGUUGGUAAGGUAACGGCUUACCAAGGCUACGAUACGUAGCCGAUCUGAGAGGAUGAUCGGCCACACUGGAACUGAGACACGGUCCAGACUCCUACGGGAGGCAGCAGUAGGGAAUCUUCCGCAAUGGGCGAAAGCCUGACGGAGCAAUGCCGCGUGUGUGAUGAAGGUCUUCGGAUCGUAAAGCUCUGUUAGUAGGGAGGAACAAACGUGUAAGUAUCCGUGCACGUCUUGACGGUACCUAAUCAGAAAGCCCCGGCUAACUACGUG
rnacentral:rRNA from 1 species